rnacentral:rRNA from 1 species
AUUGAACGCUGGCGGCAGGCCUAACACAUGCAAGUCGAGCGAGCGGCGGACGGGUGAGUAAUGUAUGGGGACUGCCCGAUAGAGGGGGAUAACUACUGGAAACGGUAGCUAAUACCGCAUACUAUCGGAUAACCCAUAUGGGAUUAGCUAGUAGGUGAGGUAAUGGCUCACCUAGGCGACGAUCCCUAGCUGGUCUGAGAGGAUGAUCAGCAACACUGGGACUGAGACCCGGCCCGCACUCCUACGGAGGCAGCAGUGGGGAAGAGUGCACAAGGGGCGCAAGCCUGAUGCAGCCAUGCGGCGGGUAUGAAGAAGGCCUUCGGGUUGUAAAGUACUUUCAGUGGGGAGGCGUUACCUACAGAAGAAGCACCGGCUAACUCCGUGCCAGCAGCCGCGGUAAUUC